ensembl:lncRNA
CGGCGCGGCUUGGGGGCUGUGGGCUGCGGUGACGUCAUCUGAGCGCGACGCGUGUGGGGCGGAAAUGCUCCGCGCCGAAUACAUACAUAUAUGUGUGUAUAUAUAUAUAUAUAUAUAUAUAUAUACGUAUAUAUAUGUAUAUAUACACUUAAUAAAAGUUGCUCUGAGCAGCUCAUUUGAUCCAGGGCAGUGGGGCAUCCAGUAUGACCAAAGUAAGGUCUGCACCAGUGUAUGCCCAUUGGCAACCUUAUUAGUCGCCGUGAUUACUGACAGAAUAUCGAUUAAGGAUUAUCUGAGGAGAGCUUGAGUUAAGAAACAGCAGCCUGUAGGGACAGUGUGUAAGAGGAGUUCCAGAAUGAAAGGAAAAGGCUGUUUUCAUUAGCAGGCUGUGGAGAAAUGUAUUAAGAAGCAAGGCUCUAGUGAUAAGUAGGAAAGCACAGAUGGAAGGAGGAAGAUAAAAUGUGUAAGGUAAGUUUGACUUUAAGGGUUGCUAAGGCUAACGAACGCUAUCAUUUAAAGAAAGGAACAAGCUUUGAAGGAUGGGAUUAAAGAAAUCCACGUUGCAUUUUAAGAUAGAUGACUCUCAGUACUGCAUUUUGAAUAGUCUGAAAUCUUGGAUGGCCCUCAAACCAGGCACUGAAGCAAUUAAGAAAGGGGAAUGACAGGGGAAAUCAACUAUUUCUUUGACUAGCCGGCCACUGAGGUAACGUUUGUUUGUAAGGAGGACAUACUAUACAGAGCUGCUGCACGUUUUUACUUAUUGUUGAAUUUUUUAAAUUAAAAUGACUACUAAGUCACUUGAGAUUCAGAGAUGCAGAGGAAAGAAACUUUGGUGUUCGCUAUUUCUGUCACAGGUCAAAAAGACAUUGCUGUCAUCUGCUCAUGGUGCACAGAUGAUGUUGCACAGAGGAGCCAGGGAAACUGAAGAGGGGUAUCUGUGAGAGAGAGGAAUGCAAGAACAAACACUCAGCAUGUCUAAGGUGCUAUCUAUACUUUUUUGGUUUUGUUUUUUUUCAUCCUCUGAUUGUGUAUCUUACAUGGGCAGAACACAGGCAUCCUUAUCCUUUCCAGCACUGACCUUUAUACCUAUCCGUACAACUUCAAAAUAUAUUAGCAGAACUGCUUUGGCCCUUUCUCAUCCACCUUUGAAGGUACAUAUUGCACAUACACAUGCAGUUUACAACUGAGAGAAAAAACAGGGACUUCACUGCUGUCAGCCCUGACUUUUUCUAUGUGUCCACGAAGUUCCAGCCCUCAGAAGUUUUCAGUCCUGCUGGGUCUGAAAGAUAAUGCUCUUUAUUUGGAUGUCUGCUCCCAGAACCCACUUGGCAAGGGUGAGAAGGCAGGCAGUUCUGCUAAAGAAGGAAGGCAGUGUGAGUUGUGGCUCCUUGUGUCUGCUCUGUGUAUGACAAAAAGGAGAGUGAGGAGUUUAGGUUUUCUACAGGGACACACAAGUAGAGGGUUGUGAACUCUGAUUUUCUACUAACCUGUGCAAAUCCUAUGGUAUAGGCACAUUCGUAAAUCUAUCAGACUGCACUCAUUCAUGUACUCAUUAGUAUUUUUCUUAAAAAUUGAGAGGGGAGAGCAAUUUGGCCUGAAGGGGUAGAUACAAUGUUGAGAAUAAAGGUGAACAGGACAGGAAGAGAAGUAUUAGGCUGGGACAAAGUUGAUGUGAACAGCUGCAAAAGUAAAUCAUUACAGUUUUUAUUAGUGGAAAAGUUGGGAGCACCAGAUAAUUAAGUAGUCUUACUAGAUGAAUCUUUUGUUAAAAUGAGACUCUUACUUCAAUAACCUUAUGAUUUUUUAGCCAAGCUUAUGUUUUUUAAAAUUUCAUUUUCUUUUUCACGCUUUAGAACUGGUAAAAACACAAUUUCUUUAGUCUGUUUUUACCUGCUCUAAGCUUAAAAUAUUCUUACACUGAUGCUAGAGAUUGUCCACAAUGAAGGCAGACACCACAACUCAUAAAUCCUUUCUUAGACUAAAGCUGGGACUACUGAAAGCAGCUGCUACUACCAAUUGUCUUUUGUAGCUAGACUUGAGUAUAACUUUUUUUGGUCAUAUUUUCUCCCCCUGUGUCUUCCUAAGAAGGCUGGGGGGAGGGUGUACAACAUGAGAGCAGUUUGGUAGGCAUCUCAUACCCAGACAAAGUCAACCCACCAUAAGGCAUAUAUUAUUUAGAAGUAGGAGGCCCCUUUUGUUUGUCCUGUUUUGGUUGGAGUAUGUACUCUGGAUACAUUUUCAGAAUUUCCCUAUAGACACAAGAACUAGGAACUUGCCUGAAGCUGAUUUUCUUAUUAAAGGUUCUCUAGCAAGGACAGCUUUGUGUGGAAGAUUAAAUGGAGCUAUACUCACGCUGCAGUUUUGAGAAUGGAUAGAAGGCAGAUCAGUCAGAAGGAAACUGGAGGACAUAUGCAGGGCAGGCUUUGUGAAUGACGUUAUGACCAUCUGGAGUAGUGGACAACAGUAAAUAUUUCUAAUAUAUAGCGUGACACUUUCAGAAAUAAGAGUGGUAUUAGAAAGAGGGAAGGACAUCAAUGAUGGCAAGGAGAUUUUGAUAGUAAUAUGGUAGAUCAAGGGGAGGUGGUGGAUGAAGAAAGCAAGGACGAAGCAGGGCAUGGUAAAGACUCCUUGGACAAAGUAAUAGCUCCCCAUGAAUGCAGAAAUUAGGAUUAGCAUGAAGAGCAGAGGGGAAGAUGGAAAUACUUGUAUUUUUGUGUUGUAGAUUUGAAUUAUUAACUUUAAGUAUUUAGAAUUGAAACAAUCCUGUGUCACUUACCAUAUACAUACUGUUGCAACAAAGGCAAUUGACCUUACUAUUAUUGCUUUCUCAGCUCAAUAGAACAGAAUGAGCCUGAAUUGAUAUUUUUGGAGUCUUGAAGCUUCCAGUACUACACUGUGUCUCUGAAAGAGAUAAAGUGAAAAAGAUUUAAAAUGACAGAUUGUUCUUCCUUUUGAGAUUGAUUGAUUGAUGAAAGCUAACAAAAUAUUCCUUACCCAGGGAAUGAAAGAACCACUGAUGGCACAUUGUUUUGGCUACCUCUUUUCAGAUGCUCAUUCGAGCAAAGAACGAUUCGUCUGUUUGGCACUUGUAUUCUGAGCUUUUGAGGAAUAUAGAUAUAUUCAAAUGACAUUAAAAGAAUAAAAGUCUGAAGUGGACUCCGAGAGUUUAUUCAGAGCUCAUUUACCCUUUCUGCCCCCGUGUAGAACCAGCCGUGUAUAUAUUGCUUCUUUGUUCAGUUUGUGCUUCAGGACCUCUCGAGGUGGACUCUCUCUUCCAAAACUUGAUCAAGCAAGUUCUGUGGUUAAAAAUUUCCACUUUCAGAAAUUUGCUCCUAAUCCAUAACCUGGGUCCUUCCCUUUGCAUCCAAAGCCCAAAGUUUUAGUCCUGUUCACCAUGGCCACAGCGAAAAGAUUUUUCUUUUUCUCUUUGUAACAGAUUUUUACCUGCUCUUAACUUAGAAUUUCUUCUCCAUCUCCUUCUUUCUCCAGACAUUUUCUGGAAAUCUCUUUUCUUCCACUUUCCAGCAAUGAAUUUUGAUCGCUGUUUCCAUUUCAGACUCAAUUUUAGAUUGUGUUUAGAUACCACUCUGAAGAAACCACAGAAAAGCAAACCCUGGAAAUAAGCCAGGGAAUUUCUAAUGUUAGUGUUCUGGAGCAGAUGUGUAUAUAUCCAGGAGCCAUGCAUCAGUUCCUCAGAGUUUCCUGUUCAAUUAAAGUUAUGUUCUGGCUCUGAAGCUGAAGAGGCGGAUCUUGGAUAAAACCCUAGAAAACAAGACUCUCCCAGUUCUCUGUGGAUAGCAGCAAUCCUUUAAUAAAGGAUCAGAGGAAUUUUAUAAUGCUCUUGGCCAGUAUUUUCUUCUCUGUAUGCCAGUUAGUGGUCACACUUUGUACUCUGUGGAGAUGGAUUGGAAUCCUCUGAAAUAAAUCCCACUGUAGAAAUGAAAGAUGUUAUUAAUGGCAAGAUUGAAUAUCAUGAAGAAGAAAAGGUUUCCUGUGUUUAGGGCUAUGAGGAAACAGGAUGUGAGAUAAUUAGCCAUAAUUUAUAAUAUAUAACCAUAUUGUUUCCUCAGGAAGAAAUGGGACGGGUGCUAUCCUGUCAUGGGGACGCCAUUCUUUAAUUAUUCCAAGAGUUCCCAUGAGCGUUUUACAAAUAUUCUGGCAGUUAGCUUUGACAAACCACAUUCAUUCACAGUCUUGAAACAAAAAAAAAAUGCUUGGAGCUUCUAACACCAGCAUAUAAUGUGUACAUACCUCGCAAAUUCUAACAAAAACCCAACAGUGCACUUCUUAGUGAAAACAAAUGGCAUUCUUUUUCAAAUCAUGUUUUCUGAUCUGUGGGAUGUUGACCUGUCUAAAUCAGCAUGCUGGACUGAAGCUGAACCCCUUAAUGCACUGCUCCUCCC